rnacentral:lncRNA from 1 species
GACGAACAACUUGAGAGUAGCAUCCUAUUAAAGCGAACAGUUAACAUCAAGGAACAUACUAACAACAACAAACAAAGACAAAUAUGAAUACGCCAUGGUCUUUAACCCUCUUUUUAAGUUUCUUCUUCAGGUAGAUAUCUAAAAACUCAAGAUCACGCGAAAACAAAUAAAAUGCAAAGAAGGGGGUUGUAACUGUAAACUGUAAAGUAAACCAUAAAACAUGAAUCUCUAAGACAAGAUACUGCGCUUUAUGAAGACAGGCUUCCUCUUGUCCGAUCCCUUAAUCUGUCUCGAAAACUUUCUGAAGCGUUUCCUAAUUUGAUUCAGACCGGAACCCUAAGAAUAAAAAAAAAACAGAGGAAACUGUAAAGACAUUACGAAACAGAGAAAUAACUAAAGAAACUCAAGAUUUAAGAUCGAUCGAACGCACCUUCUUCUUGUCGAUAACCAUGGACACAGACCUGAAUAAUUUGAUAAAUUGAAUUAUAGUCCCAAUUUGAAGUCGAUUUUUGAGAUUCCGGGUGAAAAUCAAGUACGCACGGUGAAGUUACGAAGAAGAGAGAAA